rnacentral:tRNA from 1 species
GGGGCUAUAGCUCAGCUGGCAGAGCGCUUGGAUCGCACCCAAGAGGUCAGGAGUUCGAAUCUCCUUAGCUACA